rnacentral:rRNA from 1 species
UACGAAGGGGGCUAGCGUUGCUCGGAAUCACUGGGCGUAAAGCGCACGUAGGCGGACUCUUAAGUCGGUGGUGAAAUCCUGGAGCUCAACUCCAGAACUGCCUUCGAUACUGGGAGUCUCGAGUCCGGGAGAGGUGAGUGGAACUGCGAGUGUAGAGGUGAAAUUCGUAGGUAUUCGCAAGAACACCAGUGGCGAAGGCGGCUCACUGGCCCGGUACUGACGCUGAGGUGCGAAAGCGUGGGGAGCAAACAGG